rnacentral:rRNA from 1 species
AUGAACGCUGGCGGCGUGCCUAAUACAUGCAAGUCGAGCGAACAGACGAGGAGCUUGCUCCUCUGACGUUAGCGGCGGACGGGUGAGUAACACGUGGAUAACCUACCUAUAAGACUGGGAUAACUUCGGGAAACCGGAGCUAAUACCGGAUAAUAUAUUGAACCGCAUGGUUCAAUAGUGAAAGACGGUUUUGCUGUCACUUAUAGAUGGAUCCGCGCCGCAUUAGCUAGUUGGUAAGGUAACGGCUUACCAAGGCGACGAUGCGUAGCCGACCUGAGAGGGUGAUCGGCCACACUGGAACUGAGACACGGUCCAGACUCCUACGGGAGGCAGCAGUAGGGAAUCUUCCGCAAUGGGCGAAAGCCUGACGGAGCAACGCCGCGUGAGUGAUGAAGGUCUUAGGAUCGUAAAACUCUGUUAUUAGGGAAGAACAAAUGUGUAAGUAACUAUGCACGUCUUGACGGUACCUAAUCAGAAAGCCACGGCUAACUACGUG